rnacentral:rRNA from 1 species
GACAGAGGUGCCGAGCGUUAGGCGGAAUCACUGGGCUUAAAGCGUGUGUAGGCGGAUUCCUAAGUACCUUGUGAAAUCCCCGGGCUUAACCUGGGAACUGCAUUUGUGACUGGCGGGCUAGAGUAUGGCAGAGGGGGGUAGAAUUCCACGUGUAGCAGUGAAAUGCGUAGAGAUGUGGAGGAAUACCGAUGGCGAAGGCAGCCCCCUGGGCCAAUACUGACGCUCAUGCACGAAAGCGUGGGGAGCAAACAGG